rnacentral:rRNA from 1 species
AUUGAACGCUGGCGGCAUGCCUUACACAUGCAGGUCGAACGGUAACAGGUCUUCGGAUGCUGACGAGUGGCGAACGGGUGAGUAAUAUAUCGGAACGUGCCCAGUAGUGGGGGAUAGCCCGGCGAAAGCCGGAUUAAUACCGCAUACGACCUGAGGGUGAAAGGGGGGGAUUCGCAAGAACCUCUCGCUAUUGGAGCGGCCGAUAUCAGAUUAGGUAGUUGGUGGGGUAAAGGCCUACCAAGCCUGCGAUCUGUAGUUGGUCUGAGAGGACGACCAGCCACACUGGGACUGAGACACGGCCCAGACUCCUACGGGAGGCAGCAGUGGGGAAUUUUGGACAAUGGGCGCAAGCCUGAUCCAGCAAUGCCGCGUGCAGGAAGAAGGCCUUCGGGUUGUAAACUGCUUUUGUCAGGGAAGAAAUCCUCUGGGUUAAUACCUCGGGGGGAUGACGGUACCUGAAGAAUAAGCACCGGCUAACUCUGUGCCAGCCGCCGCCGUAAAAC